rnacentral:lncRNA from 1 species
UCUCAUGCCCAUAGGUUCAAGGAGGGCGCCUCUGAGGGGUGUGAGAGGGCUCACGCGUGCACACACACAUACACCUCCUUCUUCACUUUUCAGCAAGAGGAGGCUGGAUAUGCUCCACUCCCUCCCCCGCAACCCCUAUCAGGGCUAAUAGAAAGAAGACUGGCAUUAAAAAGAGAGGCUGUGGUCAAAUUCUGAAAAUGGGACAAAACUCCAAAGGGCAUCAAGAUAUGGCAGAUGUAGAUUCUGGAAUCCUUCUUGGAAUUUGCACGUGCUGGAGAGAAAUUUGGCACGAAACAGAAAAUAGUCCACCAUCAACUUCAGGUGAUCGGUGACUAUCACAGUGCUUCACACAUAAUAGGUGCUCAACAAUUCAAUGCUAAAUGUAUCAGUGAACGAACAAGUGACCCAACUGGAUGGAGUAAGGGCAGGAGAAGUGUCAAUGCAUAAACGGGCAAAGUAAGAAUGAAGACGUUUCUCUUCUGAAUCCAGAGUGGCUGUUUUGUACGUGUCUAGACUGUGCGUGCUGAAGAUGUUCCUUUUGGGUUCAGCUGAGUCUGAGAAACAAGAACACUCACACUUUGCAUCUUUCCAAUCCUGGAGAAGUUGCUAUAGAAAACAAUGCUUUGGAAAGAAUUGAAAAGUCCUGCAAUGAGCAGGUGUUUCUUGAGUACCUCCUGUGCGCUCAGCAUCGCUGUAGGGCCCUUGGAUAAGUGUACACUAGAGAAACACACCUAAUCAAUAAAGUAGUUUUGCAGACCAGAAACAAUUAGAAGAAGACACGAUACACUGUGGAGCUGUAAAAGAGCAACGUAGUCUGGCAAAGCCAAGGAAGGCUUCCCAGAGGGGAUGAGACCAGGACCGGGCCUGAAGGAUGGGUUGGAUUUGGAUAAGGAAAGAGAGGCUGUAGAGCAUUUCAGGGAAACCACACACAAAGGCCUGAAGGAGGAGCAGAUUGGAGGUGAUGUGUAGCAUAGUGGUGAUUAUUCAUUCCUGGAGUACCCUCUGUGUGCUCAGCCAUGACACUAAGCAAUGAAAAACAGACAACCUGUCCUCAAGGAGCUCGAGUCUGGGAGGUGGGGAAUGGAAGGACAGAUACUAAAACAAAUACAGGUGAUGUAUGUGUAUUAUUUCACAAGAAUGUAACCCAAAGCAAA